AGUAACUGGCAGUGUGCUAACAGCAUGAAUGAAUAUCUUCUCAACUAUGAUUAUGAGCUGGAACAAGAGCCUUUGCCUGUAGUAGAUGUCUUAGCCCUCUGGUGAUCCAUUGGCAAGAGUAUGGAGUAGCCAGAACUUUAUGAGUCCAUAUGAUUCCCCUGAGAUUUUAAGCAAGUCAUUCCUUCUUGGAGUACUGUAGGAGCAUAAGAGCCCACAGCUACAGGGAAGCAAAUGAAUCUAAAAGUCCAGUCAUCAAUAGUUUGCAAUUGACCUAAGUGUGCUGCCAUCUGCUCUGCAAACCAGCUGCCACAAAAAAAAAAAAAA